UUCUGUUGGAGAGAAGAGACA
rnacentral:miRNA from 1 species